UCAGUUGUGAAAGUUUGCGGCUCAACCGUAAAAUUGCAGUUGAUACUGGGUGUCUUGAGUACAGUAGAGGCAGGCGGAAUUCGUGGUGUAGCGGUGAAAUGCUUAGAUAUCACGAAGAACUCCGAUUGCGAAGGCAGCUUGCUGGACUGUAACUGACGCUGAUGCUCGAAAGUGUGGGUAUCAAACAGGAUUAGAUACCCUGGUAGUCCACACAGUAAACGAUGAAUACCCGCUGUUUGCGAUAUACAGUAAGCGGCCAAGCGAAAGCGUUAAGUAUUCCACCUGGGGAGUACGCCGGCAACGGUGAAACUCAAAGGAAUUGACGGGGGCCCGCACAAGCGGAGGAACAUGUGGUUUAAUUCGAUGAUACGCGAGGAACCUUACCCGGGCUUGAAUUGCAACUGAAUGAUGUGGAGACAUGUCAGCCGCAAGGCAGUUGUGAAGGUGCUGCAUGGUUGUCGUCAGCUCGUGCCGUGAGGUGUCGGCUUAAG
rnacentral:rRNA from 1 species